rnacentral:rRNA from 1 species
AUGUGAUCGUCUCUCGCAUAUCAAUAAGCGGAGGAAAAGAAACUAACAAGGAUUCCCCUAGUAACGGCGAGUGAAGCGGGAAGAGCUCAAAUUUGAAAUCUUAAAGGGUUUCCCUUUACGAAUUGUAGUUUAAAGAAGUGUUUUCUGUUGAGGUUUUGGUAAAAGUUCUUUGGAAUAGGACAUCAUAGAGGGUGAGAAUCCCGUAUUUGACCUUUACUUUCAACUUUGUGAUACACUUUCAAAGAGUCGGAUUGUUAGGGAAUGCAGUCCAAAAUGGGUGGUAAAUUUCAUCUAAAGCUAAAUAUUGGCGAGAGACCGAUAGCGAACAAGUACCGUGAGGGAAAGAUGAAAAGAACUUUGAAAAGAGAGUUAAACAGUACGUGAAAUUGUCAAAAGGGAAGCGUUUGACACCAGUGUUGUUUUUCUGAAAAUCAAUUAAAGAACUGUUUAUGCUAAGCUGUUUAGACUUUAUCAGCUAAUCUGCUUAGUUUUGAGCUUUUCUUUAAUGCACUUUUCAGUUAACAAGUCAACAUCAAUUUCUUUUGCUGUAAAAAAGCUUGAGGAAGGUGGCUUGAGAUUCGUCUUAAGUGUUUAUAGCCUCUUGCCUAUGCAGUCGGAGAGAUUGAGGUCUGCAGCGUAGAUCCUUCGGGGCUAAAUGCAUUUGUGCUAAGUUAUAGCAUUUUAUAGACAACUUGUUGACUAUGAUUUGUCUUGUAGCUUACUCGCUUAUGUUAUUUUACCUACGCUUAGGAUGUUGACGAGACUGUCGAUCUC